CGGGUGAGUAACGCGUGAGGAACCUGCCUCAAAGAGGGGGACAACAGUUGGAAACGACUGCUAAUACCGCAUAAGCCCACGGCUCGGCAUCGAGCAGAGGGAAAAGGAGUGAUCCGCUUUGAGAUGGCCUCGCGUCCGAUUAGCUAGUUGGUGAGGUAAUGGCCCACCAAGGCGACGAUCGGUAGCCGGACUGAGAGGUUGAACGGCCACAUUGGGACUGAGACACGGCCCAG
rnacentral:rRNA from 1 species